UACGUAGGGUGCGAGCGUUGUCCGGAAUUACUGGGCGUAAAGAGCUCGUAGGCGGUUUGUCGCGUCGAUCGUGAAAACUAGCAGCUCAACUGUUAGCUUGCGGUCGAUACGGGCAGACUUGAGUACUGCAGGGGAGACUGGAAUUCCUGGUGUAGCGGUGAAAUGCGCAGAUAUCAGGAGGAACACCGGUGGCGAAGGCGGGUCUCUGGGCAGUAACUGACGCUGAGGAGCGAAAGCGUGGGUAGCGAACAGG
rnacentral:rRNA from 1 species